rnacentral:rRNA from 1 species
AACGAACGCUGGCGGCAUGCCUAACACAUGCAAGUCGAACGAGACCUUCGGGUCUAGUGGCGCACGGGUGCGUAACGCGUGGGAAUCUGCCCCCUGGUUCAGAACAACAGUUGGAAACGACUGCUAAUACCGGAUAAUGACUUCGGUCCAAAGAUUUAUCGCCUGAGGAUGAGCCCGCGUAGGAUUAGCUUGUUGGUGAGGUAAAAGCUCACCAAGGCGACGAUCCUCAGCUGGUCUGAGAGGAUGAUCAGCCACACUGGGACUGAGACACGGCCCAGACUCCUACGGGAGGCAGCAGUGGGGAAUAUUGGACAAUGGGCGAAAGCCUGAUCCAGCAAUGCCGCGUGAGUGAUGAAGGCCUUAGGGUUGUAAAGCUCUUUUACCCGGGAUGAUAAUGACAGUACCGGGAGAAUAAGCCCCGGCUAACUCCGUGCCAGCCGCCGCGGUAA